CCAAUAGCGUAUAUUAAAGUUGUUGCAGUUAAAAAGCUCGUAGUUGAAUUUCGGGACCAUCAUGUCGGUCGUGCCUCGGUACGUACUGGCAUUGUUGGUUUCUCCCUUCUGACGAACCAUGAUGUCAUUUAUUUGGUGUUGUGGGAAAUCAGGACUGUUACUUUGAAAAAAUUAGAGUGUUUAAAGCAGGCUCACGCUUGAAUACAUUAGCAUGGAAUAAUGAAAUAGGACGUUUGAUUCUAUUUUGUUGGUUUCUAGGAUCGAUGUAAUGAUUAAUAGGGAUAGUUGGGGGCAUUAGUAUUCAAUUGUCAUAGGUGAAAUUCUUGGAUUUAUUGAAGACUAACUACUGCGAAAGCAUUUGCCAAGGAUGUUUUCAUUAAUCAAGAACGAAAGUUAGGGGAUCGAAGACGAUCAGAUACCGUCGUAGUCUUAACCAUAAACUAUGCCGACUAGGGAUCGGAUGAUGUUAAUUUUUUAAUGACUCAUUCGGCGCCUUACG
rnacentral:misc_RNA from 1 species